CUGUGAUAACAGCGGAUGUUCACAAGGUCUAGUUCAGGCUCAGGACAUUUCGUACAGUGCGAGGCUGUUGGGGUGAAUGCUGUUUUCAUGUGGGCGUAUGGAUUCACUCGCCGUGUUGCAAGCAGCAGAGAGGGGGCUGACGCUGGUCUGAGCGCGGCUGAGGGUGGACAGGUUCCACAGCUCUCAGGGCUAAGGGCCCGGACCUGGAGCCAGGUUUCCCGUGUGACUUGCACCGUGUGACUCACUGUUGCCGUGCCUCGGUUUCCCUGCGCAGAAAACGGGUGUGCUUGCUCCUAGUACUUUCCUCUGGGAGGUGUUUUGAGGAUGGAAUGCGUGCAACCCUGCGAGGCUUUGUCUCUGCAGGCCUGGAAGACAGUAAGCCCUGGAGUCUUCGCUAUGUUGAAGCCCGGAAGAAAGUGCUGGAGAAAUGUGCUCAGCCGGCACCGGUCACUGGUUGUCUCUGAAGAGUGUUGAUUGUUGAACUCACGCAUUCCACAGCGUUUAACAUUUUUGGAAAAAGGAAUGCAGUCGGGCAGAGAAACAAUUGAUGUCCAAAGGAGACCCUUGUUACCGGCCUUCGAGGAUAGGUCAAUGCCUCCUUCUACUACAUUCCCUGGAAAAAUGGAGCGAAACAAUGCAUUCUGGACUCCACCUCGGGGCGGCCAUGUGGUCGGCCAGCUGCUGCAGAGGCUGUCCCCAGGGAAGGGACCUCCAGUCCCUCCAGGCCCGGGCGAUAGUUCCUGGCAUCCAGGUCCUCCAGGGGCCAACCACAGAAAGCAGGGACCCACUUGGCAUAUCAACAGGAAGCGUUGUUAUUGCCAUGCUUGUGGGCAUGCGCCCGUAUGCACACCCACAGCCCCCCAAACAGAACAAAAGCAAAACCAAAACGUGAUGAAAGAAGCAAUGAGAAAAGGUUGGGGAGGGGGGGCAAAGAAAGGGACAAACAAUGUGUUUGUGGGCCAUAUAAAGCCCGUGAGUUCCCAAUUCCCAAAGCUCUUCCCCAUUUUACAGAUGAGUACGCUGAGAGGCAACAGCGUGCCCAAAGCCACCAGGAGUUAGUGCGUGGUCCGGAAUGAAGUUUCUGAUUUUCUGGCCCAGAGUCUCCCCUCUGUUUUGUCCUUGAGGCCGAGGGUCUGCAGGCUCCAGGGGCAGGACCUCUCAGGAGAGGAACAAGGGCCACCUGCCUCCCCGGCAACCCCCACCCCCACCUUUUCCCAGGAACCCUUUGUGACAGGGGGUGCCCAGUACUCGCGCAUCAGGUAGCUGAUGCUGUCACCCCAGGAGGGGGCCAGGGAUGAGGGACUGGGGCUAUCACGUGAAUACUGGGAUCCGGGUAGACAGAGGCUUCUCUGAAAUUGAAUGUUCAUGGGGAAGGAGGACCGAGGUCAGGUUUGGAGCUAUAGACCAAUCUGGGUUGGAAUGCGAGCUCUUUUCCUUCUAAGGCAGAAGCUGAAAUAGAAAAAAAAAAAAAUUAAGGCGAACACGACGCUGCCGCUCUAAGUGGAGAAGCCGUCUUGCUGGUCAUGAACUGAAGUCACUGGUGAGAAUAAUCACAACCCAAAGCCAAUGGGGUGUUAAAUCCUGGCUGGGAAGGACCUGGGCACAGAGGCGGCUCUCCUUGUGCGAGAAGAAAAAGCAUCAGGGAAGCAUUCGGACCAAUGCCAAAUCAAGACUCGCUCCCUGGUAGGACCAGGAGGGCAUAAGGGGUUAACUUGGGAGUCAUUUCCAUCCUCCGUGAUUCAUUUAAUGCCUCGAGUAAUUCAGAAAGUGAUGCUGGGGGGUCCCCACCCCAUCUCUGUGAGGUUCACACACCAGAACAGGGCGCCUGGGUGAUCCUGUCGGUCCCUCCUGCUGAGGCUGUCAGGAAUCUAGAAGGGCCGGCAGGGCUGGGACAUCGCAGCUGAAUGGGAAGGAAGACAAAGAGAGACAGAGCAUGAGCAGGGGAGGAGCAGAGAGAGAGGAA